ensembl:lncRNA
CCCGGAGUUUGCUCAAACUCAUCCAUUGAGUGAGUUGGUGAUGCCAUCCAACCAUCUCAUCCUCUGCCAUCAUCUUCUCCGUUUGCCUUCCAUCUUUACCAGCAUCAGGGUCUUUUCCAAAGAGUUGGCUCUUUGCAUCAGUUGACCAAGUAUUGUAGCUUCAGCAUCAGUCCUUCCAAUGAAUAGUCAGAGUUGAUUUCCUUUAAGCAUUAUUUUGCCAACAAAGGUCUGUCUAGUCAAGGCUAUGGUUUUUCCAGUGGUCAUGUCAGAAUUGGACUAUAAAGAAAGCUGAGUGCCAAAGAAUUGAUACUUUUGAACUGUGGUGUUGGAGAAGACUCUUGAGAGUCCCUUGGACUGUAAGGAGAUCCAACCAGUCUAUUCUAAAGGAGAUCAGCCCUGGGUGUUCUUUGGAAAGAAUGAUGCUAAACUGAAACUCCAGUACUUUGGCCACCUCAUGCGAAGAGUUGACUCAUUGGAAGAGACUCUGAUGCUGGGAGGGAUUGGGGGCAGGAGGAGAAGAGGACAACAAAGGAUGAGAUGGCUGGAUGGCAUCACUGACUCGAUGGACCUGAGUUUGAGUGAACUCUGGGAAUUGGUGAUGGACAGGGAGGCCUGGCGUGCUGCGAUUCAUGGGGUCGCAAAGAGUUGGACACAACUGAGCGACUGAACUGAACCGAACUGAACUGAACUGAACUGACUGAAGACUGACUGGUUGGAUCUCCUUGCAAGUCCCUUGGGCAGCAAGGAGAUCAAACUUGUCCAUCCUAAAGGACAUCAGUCCUCAAUGUUCAUUGGAAGGACUGAUGCUGAAGCUGAAGCUCCAAUUCUUUAGCCACCUGAUGUGAAGAACUGACUCACUGGGAAAGACCCUGAUGCUGGGAAGGAUUGAAAGCAGGAGGAGAAGGGGACGACAGAGGAUGAGAUGGUUGGAUGGCAUCACCAACUCGAUGCACACGAGUUUGAGAAAACUCAGGGAGACAGUGAAGUACAAGGAAGCCUGGUGUGCUGCAACCCAUGGGCAUUGCAAACAGUCGGACACGACUGAAAGACUCAACAAGAACAAGAGGCCACUCCUCCAGAUGCCUUCUGGAAGUAAAAGUGACAGAAGAUAACAUUUGAAUUUACAUCUUCCUGGUUACAAAACGGGGCUUCCCAGGUGGCGCUGGUGGUCAAGAGCCCCCCCUGCCAAUGCAGGAGACAUAAGAGAUGCGGGUUCGAUCCCUGGAUUGGGAAGAUCCCCUGGAGGAGGAAAUGGCAGCCCACUCCAGUAUUCGUGCCUGGAGAAUCCCGUGGACAGAGGAGCCUGGUGGGUCCUUGGGAUUGCAGAAGAGUCAGACAGAGCUGAGUGACUGAACAACAAGGCAAUUUGGAUUCUGUCCUCAGCCGCCCACUGGGCCCAGGGAAGGGUGUGAGAAUUGCAGGACCUAUUGUAAAGUGCAACACGGAUGGACCUAGAGAGUGUCAUACCAAGGGGUAAGUCAGACAGAGAAGGAAAGAUAUAGCCUGACAUGUGGAAUCUAAAAAGGAUACAAGUGAACUUCCUCAACAGAAAGAGACUCACAGACUUAGAGAUCAAAGGAUUGCCAGAGGGGAGGAUGGGGGAGGGGACAGUUUCGGAGUUUGGGAUGGACAGGUACACACUGCUGUGUUUAAAAUGGAUAGCCAACAAGGACCUACUGUAUAACACAAGGGACUCAGCUCAGUGUUACGUGGCAGCCUGGAUGGGAGGGGAGUUUGGGGAAGAAUGGAUACAUGCAUAUGUGUGGCUGAGUCCCUUCACUGUUCACCUGAAAUUAUCACAACAUUGUUAAUCGACUAUGUAUGUGCAUGCUAAGUCGAUUUAGUCAUAUCCGACUCUUUGUGACCCUAUAGACUGUA